rnacentral:rRNA from 1 species
CACGUAGGGUGCGAGCGUUGUCCGGAAUUAUUGGGCGUAAAGAGCUCGUAGGCGGUGUGUCGCGUCGGCCGUGAAAACCUGCAGCUUAACUGUGGGCGUGCGGUCGAUACGGGCAUCACUGGAGUUCGGCAGGGGAGACUGGAAUUCCUGGUGUAGCGGUGAAAUGCGCAGAUAUCAGGAGGAACACCGUGGCGAAGGCGGGUCUCUGGGCCGAUACUGACGCUGAGGAGCGAAAGCGUGGGGAGCAAACAGG